UACGUAGGGGGCAAGCGUUGUCCGGAAUCAUUGGGCGUAAAGAGCGCGUAGGCGGCCCUGUAAGUCCGCUGUGAAAGUCAAGGGCUCAACCCUUGAAUGCCGGUGGAUACUGCAGGGCUAGAGUCCGGAAGAGGCGAGUGGAAUUCCUGGUGUAGCGGUGAAAUGCGCAGAUAUCAGGAGGAACACCGGUGGCGAAGGCGGAUCUCUGGGCCUGAUCUGACGCUGAGGCGCGAAAGCUAGGGGAGCGAACAGG
rnacentral:rRNA from 1 species